GUGCUCACUUAGCACAUAGACCCAAACUGAAACAAUACAGAGAAGAUCAGCAUGGCCCCUGACUAAGGGUGACUGCAAAUUCAUGAUGCACUCCAUAUUUUU
ensembl:snRNA U6 U6 spliceosomal RNA